CUUUGAGAAGAUCUCAUAGCAGAUAACCUGAUGACUAUGUGCCUAAAGGCUGGUCUCACUCCCACUGUGCCCCUGCAACAGCACUGAGUCUAUUUCCAGGAAGCUGGAGAUCAGAGCUGAGAACUUGCACCAGACCACAAGCCUCGCCGUUGAGAAAGCAAGCCAACUCACAGUUUUUUGGCAUCUCCGAGAGCCUGCAGCAGUAAUUCAGUUUCUUCAAAGGGUUGUGGAUUCUCUCAGCUUUCCUGGUGUGUUCCUGAGGUAGUUCUUGGAGCAAAAGUUCACGAUGUGAGUCUCCACACGCUGCUCUGUCUGUCUGAGCCGGGGCUGCAAGCUACUUCUGCCUCCUAUUCAUCAUCUUAAUCCAAGAAUAUCUCCAUUCUCUUCUUACAUUGUCAUAUUAUAUCAGUAAUGACUUCCCUAAAUGUAUCAACUGGCCAGGCAUUGUGGCUCAGGACCGUAAUUCCAGCACUUUGCAAGGCUGAGGCGGGAGGAUCACUUGUGCUUGGGAGUUCGAGACCAGUCUGGGCAACAUGGUGAGACUCUGUCUCUACAAAAAAUAAAAAGAAAAAUAACUGGGCGAUUACACCACCACAUUCCAAUCUGGGUGACGGAGUGAAACUCUGUCUCAAAAAAAAAAAAAAGAAUAAAUAAGUGUAUCAACUAAGUCUCAUCUUUUCUCAUAGUUUCCUUCAUUUUUCUUUUUGCCACAUUUGAGGAGUUUGCACUGGUUUUCUAAAUGCCAAUGUACAUUCUGGAUCUCAUCCAAGCUACCAUCAUUGCAUUUAUUCAUGUCUCCUUAGGUUGCUCUUGGCUGUGACAGUUUUUUGUGUUUCCCUUGGUUUUAAUGACCUUGAUAGUUUUAAGGAAUAUUUGGUAGAAUAUCACUCAAUUGGAAAGUCUAUUUUUUUUCUCAUGCUUUGACUGGAGUUGUGGAUUUUGGGAAGGAAGUGAAAAGGGGUUAAGUAUUUUUAUCCCAUAAUAUCAAGCCUCCGUCCAAACCAUAAUUAUAAAACAUUAAAAACGUGGAUUUACAAAUUGAGAACGUGGAUCAGAAGAACAUUUCAAAUUGUGCCUCCAGUUAGCAGACAAGAUGGAUUCCCUGUGGCUCAAAAGUUACAAGCAGAACCAAGAGGCCAUGGCAGGGUGAGAGGGCAGUCACAUUCUGUUGUGUCCUUAGAAAGUGUUGCAGAACCUGUUUUUCUGCAACUGAGUCAAAGAACAGUUCCUGAAAAGUACUGCAGCUGGAAAUUUCCCAGCUGACCGCUAGCAAGUCACCUGGAGCCAACCAGCUGACCACCUGGAACCAGCCAAUCAAGAAAGACUGAUGAUAUGGGGCUUAAAGGUCAUCUGGUCCAGACUCUGUUCCUCAUUCCCCUGCCUCCCCUUCCCUGCCCUGCAGUUUUUACCUUCAUAAUCUCCUGCAUUCCAGACCCUCUUCAAAGUGCACUUUCAUCUCCGCAAUCUGCAGAUUGCUUUUAGAAAAUAAAGUUGUAGGUUGACUGUAGUUAAUAACAACUUAAUUGAAUAUUUUAAAAUAAGUUAAAGAAUGUGAUUGGAUUGUUUGUAACUCAAAAGAUAAAUGCUUGAAGGGAAAGACACCCAAUUCUCCACGAUGUGCUUGUUUCAUAUUGCACGCCUGUAUCAAAACAUCUCGAGUACCCCAGAAACAUAUACACGUACUAUGUACCCACAAAUAUUUAAAAUAAU
rnacentral:lncRNA from 10 species